rnacentral:tRNA from 1 species
GCAUUGGUGGUUCAGUGGUAGAAUUCUCGCCUGCCACGCGGGAGACCCGGGUCCAAUCCCGGCCAAUGCA